rnacentral:sRNA from 1 species
CAUAUAAAAUUUUGAGAAUCAUUGCAUACAAAA